GACGAACGCUGGCGGCGUGCCUAACACAUGCAAGUCGAACGGGACCGGGGGCAACUCCGGUUCAGUGGCGAACGGGUGCGUAACGCGUGAGGAACUUGUCUUUCGGCGGGGGAUAGCCGGCCCAACGGCCGGGCAAUACCGCGUACGCUCUUCGGGGGGCAUCUCCUGGAGAGGAAAGCAGCAAUGCACCGAAAGAGAGUCUCGCGGCCUAUCAGCUAGUUGGUGAGGUCAUGGCUCACCAAGGCGACGACGGGUAGCUGGUCUGAGAGGAUGGCCAGCCACAUUGGGACUGAGACACGGCCCAGACUCCUACGGGAGGCAGCAGUGGGGAAUCUUGCGCAAUGGGCGAAAGCCUGACGCAGCGACGCCGCGUGUGGGAUGACGGCCU
rnacentral:rRNA from 1 species